CUUUGGCCGUGAGAGGAGGAGAGAAAGAAACCAAAAGCCUCUUAGCAACACAGACCCUUUGCUGCUGCUGUUGCUGCUGCUGCUGCUGUUGCUGCUGCUGCUACUGCUGCUGCUGCUACUGCUGCUGCUUGGCCCUGGCUGGAGACAUCUCACUACACCCAGGAGCAGCCACUUCCCCAGCUCUCCUCCUCCUCCUUCGCCUCCUCCUCCUCCACUCCCCCCCUUUAUUACCCUUUGUGUCAUCCUCCACAGCUCCAGGGAAGGCACUCAAAAGUGGGGGGCAGGAAAGCCCACAUAUGACAGUGGACAUAGAGGACAACGCAGAUAUAGAACAUUUCUUUUAUCACAAGUCUCGCUCUGUCUUCCAGGCUGGAGUGCAGGAGUGCAGUGGUGCCAUCGCUCCCUGCAACCUCCGCCUCCCGGGUUCAAGCGAUUCUCCUGCCUCAGCCUUCUGAGUAACUGGGACUACAUGCGCGUGCCACCACGCUCGGCUAAUUUUUUGUAUUUUUAGUAGAGAUGGGGUUUCACUGUGUUAUCCAGGAUGGUCUCGAUCUCCAGACCUCAUGACCCGCCCGCCUCGGCCUUCCAAAGUGCUGGGAUUACAGUCGUGUGCCACCGCGCUUGGCCGUUUAUUGAAUAGGUUUUUCUUUACCAUUGAUUUUCAGUGUCUACUUGGUCUUAUAAUUGUAUUUCCAUAUGUGUAUGGGUCAGCUUCUGAACUCACUAUUGUGUUGCAUUGGUGAAGUAGUUCUGAAUCUUCCCUUAAUUGCUGUAAGUUUAGAUAAGUCUUGGUAGUUGAUAAUGUAAGACAUGUCACAUAGUACUCUGUUAGAAAUUUCAUAAUCAGUUUGGCAUGUUCUAUAAGAAAUCUUGUGGGGAUUUUGAUUGGAAUUGAUCUAAUUAUUAUAAUUUAAUUUUAUGUCCAAGACCAUGGAAUACCUCUCCUUAUAUUUUACUCUACUUUAAUGUCUCUCAAAGUUUUGAAAUCUUCCCUGUAACUUUCUUAUGUGUAGUCUUGGUACUUUAAAAUUC
rnacentral:sRNA from 1 species